AGAGUUUGAUCAUGGCUCAGGACGAACGCUGGCGGCGUGCUUAACACAUGCAAGUCGAGCGAUGAAGCUCUUCGGAGUGGAUUAGCGGCGGACGGGUGAGUAACACGUGGGCAACCUACCUCAAAGUGGGGGAUAGCCUCCCAAAAGGGAGAUUAAUACCGCAUAAUAUUAGUUUUUCACAUGGAAGAUUAAUUAAAGGAGUAAUCCUCUUUGAGAUGGGCCCGCGGCGCAUUAGCUAGUUGGUGAGGUAACGGCUCACCAAGGCCACGAUGCGUAGCCGACCUGAGAGGGUGAUCGGCCACAUUGGAACUGAGACACGGUCCAGACUCCUACGGGAGGCAGCAGUGGGGAAUAUUGCACAAUGGGCGAAAGCCUGAUGCAGCAACGCCGCGUGAGUGAUGAAGGCCUUCGGGUUGUAAAGCUCUGUCUUUGGGGACGAUAAUGACGGUACCCAAGGAGGAAGCCACGGCCAACUACGUGCCAGCAGCCGCGGUAAUACGUAGGUGGCAAGCGUUGUCCGGAUUUACUGGGCGUAAAGGAUGCGUAGGCGGAUAUUUAAGUCAGAUGUGAAAACCCCGAGCUUAACUUGGGGACUGCAUUUGAAACUGGGUAUCUAGAGUGCGGGAGAGGAGAAUGGAAUUCCUAGUGUAGCGGUGAAAUGCGUAGAGAUUAGGAAGAACACCAGUGGCGAAGGCGAUUCUCUGGACCGUAACUGACGCUGAGGCAUGAAAGCGUGGGUAGCAAACAGGAUUAGAUACCCUGNUAGUCCACGCCGUAAACGAUGAAUACUAGGUGUANGAGGUAUCGACCUUCUGUGCCGCAGCUAACGCAAUAAGUAUUCCGCCUGGGAAGUACGAUCGCAAGAUUAAA
rnacentral:rRNA from 1 species